rnacentral:rRNA from 1 species
GACGAACGCUGGCGGCGUGCUUAACACAUGCAAGUCGAACGGAAAGGCCCUGCUUUUGUGGGGUGCUCGAGUGGCGAACGGGUGAGUAACACGUGAGUAACCUGCCCUUGACUUUGGGAUAACUUCAGGAAACUGGGGCUAAUACCGGAUAGGAGCCCCUGCUGCAUGGUGGGGGUUGGAAAGUUUCGGCGGUUGGGGAUGGACUCGCGGCUUAUCAGCUUGUUGGUGGGGUAGUGGCUUACCAAGGCUUUGACGGGUAGCCGGCCUGAGAGGGUGACCGGCCACCUUGGGACUGGGAUACCGCCCAGACUCCUACGGGAGGCAGCAGUGGGGAAUAUUGCACAAUGGGCGGAAGCCUGAUGCAGCAACGCCGCGUGCGGGAUGACGGCCUUCGGGUUGUAAACCGCUUUCGCCUGUGACGAAGCGUGAGUGACGGUAAUGGGUAAAGAAGCACCGGCUAACUACGUG